AUCCAAGGGUUUUAGGAGCCCUUUUUGGUUAAAAAAAGUUUAGGUUAAGCCUAGGCUAGCUUGUCUAAGCUAUGAUUAGCAACUUAUUAGUAAGACAAGCGAGAUUCUCAAAUUGCGGGGAGUUCCUAAAGACUAAGUAACCAAGUCUAACUAGUAAUAGAUUAGAUGGCACAGGUAAUGACUCGUGGUAUGGUAAAAUCGCUUAGUAUGGAGGCGUGCUUCGCUAAAAAUGGAUAAUCCGCAGCCAACCACCGAUGUAGAUAUUUGUGGAUAUAUUUUUUCUAAUUAUUUUUAGAGAAGAUCGGUGUGCAGUUCAACGACUAAAUGUGAGUCGGCCAUAAGAUGGCUUAAGAUAUAGUCUGACCCGGUAUGAAAGUACUGA
rnacentral:ncRNA from 1 species